ACCACAGGAAAACCAACAG
rnacentral:piRNA from 1 species